UGAGGAAUAUUGGUCAAUGGGCGAGAGCCUGAACCAGCCAAGUAGCGUGCAGGAUGACGGCCCCAUGGGUUGUAAACUGCUUUUAUGUGGGGAUAAAGUGAGCUACGUGUAGUUUAUUGCAGGUACCACAUGAAUAAGGACCGGCUAAUUCCGUGCCAGCAGCCGCGGUAAUACGGAAGGUCCAGGCGUUAUCCGGAUUUAUUGGGUUUAAAGGGAGCGUAGGCCGUGGAUUAAGCGUGUUGUGAAAUGUAGACGCUCAACGUCUGAAUUGCAGCGCGAACUGGUUCACUUGAGUAUGCACAACGUAGGCGGAAUUCGUCGUGUAGCGGUGAAAUGCUUAGAUAUGACGAAGAACUCCGAUUGCGAAGGCAGCUUACGGGAGCACAACUGACGCUGAAGCUCGAAGGUGCGGGUAUCAAACAGGAUUAGAUACCCUGGUAGUCCGCACAGUAAACGAUGGAUGCCCGUUGUUAGUUCACCUAAGAAUUAGCGACCAAGCGAAAGCAUUAAGCAUCCCACCUGGGGAGUACGCCGGCACGGU
rnacentral:rRNA from 1 species